rnacentral:rRNA from 1 species
UUGCACAAUGGGGGAAACCCUGAUGCAGCCAUGCCGCGUGUGUGAAGAAGGCCUUCGGGUUGUAAAGCACUUUCAGUUGUGAGGAAGGCAUAUACGUUAAUAGCGUGUGUGUUUGACGUUAGCAACAGAAGAAGCACCGGCUAACUCCGUGCCAGCAGCCGCGGUAAUACGGAGGGUGCGAGCGUUAAUCGGAAUUACUGGGCGUAAAGCGCAUGCAGGCGGCUUGUUAAGCCAGAUGUGAAAGCCCGGGGCUCAACCUCGGAAUAGCAUUUGGAACUGGCAGGCUAGAGUCUUGUAGAGGGGGGUAGAAUUUCAGGUGUAGCGGUGAAAUGCGUAGAGAUCUGAAGGAAUACCGGUGGCGAAGGCGGCCCCCUGGACAAAGACUGACGCUCAGAUGCGAAAGCGUGGGGAGCAAACAGGAUUAGAUACCCUGGUAGUCCACGCCGUAAACGAUGUCUACUUGGAGGUUGGAACCUUGAGUUCUGGCUUUCGGAGCUAACGCAUUAAGUAGACCGCCUGGGGAGUACGGUCGCAAGAUUAAAACUCAAAUGAAUUGACGGGGGCCCGCACAAGCGGUGGAGCAUGUGGUUUAAUUCGAUGCAACGCGAAGAACCUUACCUACUCUUGACAUCCAGAGAACUUCCAGAGAUG